rnacentral:lncRNA from 1 species
AAGCACUCUGCAUGUGAGUCAUCCGUAAGCCUGGUUGUAAUUCUGGCUGAAAUGCAGUAGACUAAACUGAGCUCAAAGGGCUGACGUGUCACAGCAAGUCUUUUGGUCCUACAGUUGAAACUCAAAAAGGGAAAUAUAACAACACCAGAUACAAAUCCACCAAGAGAACACUAGAUCAGCCAACAACUAGUUCUACAGACCGACAUACUGCAAGUCUUCAAAAAUGAUUGGCUUCCUGCUACUUUUGGCUUUUGUUUUGCCUCAAAGUCAGGCAGUGGACGCAAACUCUAAGCCAUGUAUGCCCGCGAGGUACAACAACACUCACAAUGUUUUCCUCAAACGCCAUAUUCCUGAUGGGGUGCCGAAAACAUGGGAUCAGAACGCCUGGGAAGCUUUCCUGAGGAAGAUUAAAACGUGUGGCAGACCGACGCAGUCGUUUUUCCGUGCCACUGAAAAACAGCGGGUGGAAAAUGUGUGCAGUAAGGAUGGCGGAAAGACACUGUCUGGUAACUUGUGUAUCAGCAAAGAGAAAUUCUCCUUCGUAACGGUGCGGAUCGAUACUGAAGGCGCGUGCGGAAUUAGAAGCAUGCGCAAUGAGACCAAACAUAUCAUCCUCGCCUGUGAAGACAUAGGAGAUGUUUGUCAACCGGUCCACUUCGAGGGGAACCCUGAAGGCAAAGCGCCAAGCAAUAACCAGCUGGACUGUGGGGCUAAGGGGAGCUCGGGAACCAUUGCGAUAAACGUGCUUCCUUUGUGGUUCACUUUGAUAGUGAUGGCAUACUUUUUGUAAGGGAAAAUCUUUUAUGCUACUUCGACUAUAUGUAAAAGACCCCAAAAAGCAUGUAUUUUUUUAGGCUAUAUGUUUAUAUUUGAUUGUUUAAUUAUUUUUGUACAUAUUGAACAUUUUAGGGAAGUGUGCAUUAAAAUAAGGCCUUCUUUU